rnacentral:lncRNA from 1 species
GUUAGUGAGGUUUUGCUCUUGGUGAUGGUGUUUAGUCUUGUCUUUCAAAAGCAUGAGAGAGAGCUUUCUACUUCUUGUCCUGCUGUUCUUUUAGGCAGCUAUGGACAGUCAAUUGAAACAUUAUAUUUUUAAGAAAUAAUAGAAUUCCUUAUCUUAUUGUUUGACCCAUGAUUCCAAUACAGAAUUUCUCUCCUGAGCUUGAUUUUUUGCUCUGACACAUAAAGGAUUCAAAUAGUUCCUCUACUAUACUACUUAGCCAUUUUAUAUGGGGAGAGUGUAAAACCAGACACUAUGUUCUGAGGCACUCUUGUAUUAGAAAUUUUGUCAAAAAAAAAAGAAUAACAUGAAUGACACAAAGGCAGUGUGUCUGGGAAGUGGCUUCCUCCUUUUCUUUUUUCUCGGCUGCUUUCCCUCUUUUCCCUGAUGCUGCCACACUUUUAAGGAACAGAGUUGAGUGCAACCCUCUCUAGGCCCAAGCUGUAUGCUCAAGGACAGUGCUUAGGGGACUGGGGUAGGUGUAGUCCAGGGGACGUGGUUCCAUGAACCCAUACUUUGUGCUCUCUAGCUUUAGGACUAGCCUGCACUCAUCAAAUGAUACAAUGUAUAAUAGACCCUGCCACUGUUAUUUCUACAAUUAACUUUGCUACAGUUACUACAGCUAAUUUGCAUUAAAUCGUAUGCUAGUUUUGCUUAAUAUGGAAAAGGAUCCAUUUUCAUCAUUUGCCUACUCUCCUUAUAGAGAAGAAAGUAUUUCCAUAUAUUUUCAGUCUGUGUGCCACAACUUACAUGUAUUUGUCCUGUAUUACCUAUGUUCCUCAUUAGAUUUUUUUUUUUUUCCU